rnacentral:rRNA from 1 species
UACGUAGGCAGCAAGCGUUGUCCGGAUUUACUGGGCGUAAAGAGCGCGCAGGCGGUCGUUCAAGUCGAGUGUGAAAGCCCCCGGCUCAACUGGGGAGGGUCAUUCGAUACUGAUCGACUUGAAGGCAGGAGAGGGAAGCGGAAUUCCCGGUGUAGUGGUGAAAUGCGUAGAUAUCGGGAGGAACACCAGUGGCGAAGGCGGCUUCCUGGCCUGUUCUUGACGCUGAGGCGCGAAAGCUAGGGGAGCAAACGGG